rnacentral:pre_miRNA from 1 species
CGCUUUCAUCCGUGACUUUAGAAGAGUCUUAUAUCACUAAGGCACGCGGUGAAUGC